GCAAGAUACCACGGGCGCACGGCGGAUGCCUUGGCACAGGGAGCCGAUGAAGGACGCGGCAAGCUGCGAUAAUCCCCGGCGAGGAGCACACAUCCUUCGACCCGGGGGUCUCCGAAUGGGCGAACCCAUGCACAGCAGUGUGCAUAUCCCCCCGCUGAACACAUAGGCGGGGGGAGGACAACCCGGGGAACUGAAACAUCUAAGUACCCGGAGGAGAGGAAAUCAAUCUCGAGACUCCCCGAGUAGCGGCGAGCGAAAGGGGACCGAUGGCCAAACCGUCGAGCGGGCAUACCCGGCAGGGGUUCCGCCGACGGGGUUGCAGGGCCGCGCAUCCGGGGGCUGCCGCCCCCGGGCGCAGGUCCGGCUGGGGAGCGGAACGGCAUGGGAGGGCCGGCCGCAGCGGGUGACAGCCCCGUACGCGAACCCAGACCGGACGGCGCGACGCGGUCCCUGAGUAGGGCCGGGCACGUGAAACCCGGUCCGAACCUGGGUGGACCACCAUCCAAGCCUGAGUACUACCCUGUGACCGAUAGCGCACCAGUACCGUGAGGGAAAGGUGAAAAGCACCCCGGGAGGGGAGUGAAACAGUACCUGAAACCGUGCGCCCACGAGCAGUCGGAGCACCUUUAUGGUGUGACGGCGUGCCUUUUGUAGAAUGAGCCAGCGAGUCGCUGGCGCGGGGCGAGGUUAACCGAAAGGGAGCCGGAGCGAAAGCGAGCCUUAACAGGGCGACUUGAGUCCCGCGCCGCGGACGCGAAGCCGGGUGAGCUAUCCGUGGGCAGGCUGAAGCGGGGGUAAGACCCCGUGGAGGGCCGAACGCACGUCGGUUGAAAACGGCGGCGAUGACCUGCGGAUAGGGGUGAAAGGCCAAUCAAACCCGGAGAUAUCUCGUUCUCCCCGAAAUAGCUUUAGGGCUAGCGUCGCGCGUUCACCGCCGGAGGUAGAGCACCGGAUGGACGAGGGGGCUUCGCCGCCUACCGAAUCCAACCGAACUCCGAAUGCCGGCGGCCCAGAGCGCGGCAGUCAGAGCAUGUGGGCUAAGCUGUGUGCUCGAGAGGGAAACAGCCCGGACCGCCCGCUAAGGUCCCCAAGUUCCAGCCGAGUGGCAAAGGAUGUGCGUCCGCCCAGACAACCAGGAUGUUGGCUUAGAAGCAGCCAUCCAUUCAAAGAGUGCGUAACAGCUCACUGGUCGAGUGGACAUGCGCCGACAAUACACGGGGCUAAGCUGGACACCGAAGCGGCGGGAUUUUAAUUCAUUAGAAUCGGUAGGGGAGCUUCCCAUGGGCGGAGAAGCCGGAGGGCGACCGACGGUGGAGCGCAUGGGAGUGAGAAUGCUGGCAUGAGUAGCGAGAGACGAGAGAGUAACUCGUCCGCCGUGAACCCGAGGUUUCCUGGGCAAGGCUAAUCCUCCCAGGGUCAGUCGGGGGCUAAGGCGAGGCCGGGAGGCGUAGCCGACGCGCAGCAGGCAGACAUUCCUGCACCGCGCACGCGGCGCUACGACCGACGGGGCGACGGAUGGGGGUGGCUCGGCGGGGUUCUGGACGUCCCCGUGAUGGAGCGCGGCCCGCGGACCAGGGAAAUCCGGUCCGCACGAAGGGCGAGGCUCCGGACGAAGCGACUGAGCGAAGCGAGUGAGCCCGAGGUCCCUAGAAAAACCCCUAGGCAGGCGCGUGCGCGCCCGUACCGCAAACCGACACAGGUGGGUGGGUAGAACAUACCGAGGCGAUCGGGUCAACCAUGGUCAAGGAACUCGGCACAAUGGCCCCGUAACUUCGGGAGAAGGGGUGCCCGCGCGUACGUGAACCGGCUCGCCCGGGGAGCGGAGGCGGGCCGCAGUGGAGAGGCCCAAGCGACUGUUUACCAAAAACACAGGACUCUGCAGAAGCCGCAAGGCGACGUAUAGGGUCUGACGCCUGCCCGGUGCCGGAAGGUCACGCGGAGGAGUUAGCCGUUAAGGCGAAGCCCCGAAGCCAAGCCCCGGUAAACGGCGGCCGUAACUAUAACGGUCCUAAGGUAGCGAAAUUCCUUGUCGGGU
rnacentral:rRNA from 1 species